GCGAGUCCUCCACGACCUCGGUGCCACCAUACCCCCCUCGUUCGGAUCACGCAGCCGCCGGAUCCGCUCCUCCCCAACAAGGCCACCGCGAGAUGCGCUCCUCUUCGACAAGGCCGCCGCCGGAUGCCUCCUCCUCGGCAGCCACCGUCCCCGGAUCCAGCUCUACCUGGCUUGCUCCUCCGGCAAGAACAUCGGCAGCAGCAGGAUCUAUUCUGGACCUGAACCCCAAGUCCCAGAACUAGAGCAAGGGAAGCAGUAGGUGGAGGUGAAAAUGCAUCGAUAUUCGGCCAGGCCAACUACUACAAGCUGCUCACCGAGGUUCCAAGCACAAGCAGAUAAUCCAUCUGUCAAUGCUCCAGGAAUGACUUCCGUACGUCCUCUCCAUCUCUGUAUGCACAGCAUAUUAGAUACUUGCAUGAUGUAUUUGGAGCCUGCUAAGUUCGUCGCAAAGCUGAGCGAACUGAAAACGGAUGGAAGCUCCUGCUAUUCUAGUGCAAUCUUGGUGCUGGGUACUUUUCCAACUCAGGAAGUUUUGAGAAACUGCAAGAAGACGCCUUCACUUAUGCCUUCAUCCUCAAGUUAGUGGCCCUUUUUCAGGGAAUUUCUGAAGCAGCAGCGAUUCUGUCAAGUGAUGCUUAUGAUGUUAUUCUAUAUCUGGUGUUUUACUCUCUGAGCUGACCUGUAGGUACCUAUGGUUGUUUACUCUUUGACAGUAUGGAACAUAGCUGAAGUUCGAAGAACUAUAGGCUGAAGAAAUUCGGUUGUACUGUUACUCAACAAAUAGCAGCUCUUAUCUUAUGAUUAUAUUAUGGUGUUUGUUUCUCUCUUUCUGACAGGAAUAUUGUAAUAGACUUAGCUGUUACUUGAUGAGUGUUGAUCUGUCAUUUUUAGA